rnacentral:snoRNA from 1 species
CCCGCCCAUAUGCCGUCUGUGACGGUGACUGAGUAAAUCCAGUGGAGGCUCAGAGUGACCCAGCUUUAGGAAACAGGGCUGCCCCAACAUGUGGACAACUCUGUGCCGAAAAGUCUGGAACAGAU